AUUGAACGCUAGCGGGAUGCCUUACACAUGCAAGUCGAACGGCGUGGCGAACGGGUGAGUAAUGUAUCGGGACGUGCCCAUUAGCGGUGGAUAACUACGCGAACGCGUAGCUAAUACCACAACCUAUUGGCACGGCCGCUAUCGGAUUAGCGAGUGGGUGGGGUAACGGCUCACCAAGGCGACGAUCCGUAGCCGGUUUGAGAGGACGACCAGCCACACUGGGACUGAGACACGGCCCAGACUCCUACGGGAGGCAGCAGUGGGGAAUUUGGGACAAUGGGCGAAACCCUGAUCCAGCCAUCCCGCGUGUGUGAUGAAGGCCUUCGGGUUGUAAAGCACUUUUGGCAGGAGAGCGGUACCUGCAGAAUAAGCACCGGCUAACUACGUGCCAGCAGCCGCGGUAAUUC
rnacentral:rRNA from 1 species